rnacentral:rRNA from 1 species
UACGUAGGGUGCAAGCGUUAAUCGGAAUUACUGGGCGUAAAGCGUGCGCAGGCGGUUUUGUAAGUCUGUCGUGAAAGCCCCGGGCUCAACCUGGGAAUUGCGAUGGAGACUGCAAGGCUUGAAUCUGGCAGAGGGGGGUAGAAUUCCACGUGUAGCAGUGAAAUGCGUAGAGAUGUGGAGGAACACCGAUGGCGGAAGGCAGCCCCCUGGGUCAAGAUUGACGCUCAUGCACGAAAGCGUGGGGAGCAACAGG